GUAGCAGAGUGCAGGAAGAGGAAUGAACUGCUUUACUAUUUGUAGGAAUUUAAAUUUUGCACUUUGCAUUUCAGGUGACCCAGAUGAGUAUAGCGUAUGCUAGAAGAUUUCCUUUCAACUGUACAAACACUUCAGGAUUGCUCCCUGUGUGUGAAGGGAAAACAGAAGUUGUAUGAUAAAGACUUUUUGUCCACAACGUCUGAAGACUAAUAACCUUAGUGCUCUGCUAAGAAACAGAGCCUUGUAAGAUUCAAGGAAAUCACCUUAUCUGUCUUUUAUCCUGUUUGGAAGCAUCUAAAGAAAAACUGGAGACUGCAGUGACAUACAAAGAACUGAAAGCAGGGAAAAUUGGCCUCUCUAUUUUGGAAGACUUUUGUCUAUGAUUUAUGGAUGUAAGGGCCUUCCCACCUUCUGUCUAUAAGCUGGAUGAAAUAUAUUGCUCUUUUGGAUGGCUGUCAUCCAGAAACAAGACAACAUGAGCUAAUCUCCGUAGAGAAUGGGACAUCAUAUCCUGACCUUGGUACACAGGACAAUAAUACCAAAGGCAUAAUUCUGAAAUCAACAUAAACAAAUCAUGUUAAAACCACUGAUAUUAAAAUCACUGUUACUUGCUACUAGUUUCUUUUGUUUGUUUUGGGCUUGGAAAGGUUUAGGAGCACAAUUUUUAAUAUAU
rnacentral:lncRNA from 1 species